UCUGUUGGGGACUUGUUCUCAACCGCUAUGAAUUAAGAACAAGGCAACAUAAAGUGUUAAAUGUUAACGUUCUUCGUCCAUGAAACAUUAUUCCCUUGAGGAUAAUGGGCCUUGGACGAAGGUUGAUGAGAGUAAAAUUACGAAGCUUAGGACUUCGUAAUAAAAUUUCAAUAGUUAUUGUAAGGCAACAUAAAAUAAAAGGUAUCAAAGGGGUAAAUAAAUCAUAGACGAAUUAUGUCAUAUUUACUUAAUAUAUUGAAUCAUUGGAUACAAUAAUACCUCUGCCUUGGCAAGGGUUGAAUUCCAGAAGAUGUGAGUAUAAUUACCAGAAUUCGUGAACAGUAACGGACUACUGUUCACUAUUUAUAGGCACAGGACACAGCCUGUGAGGAAUUACAAGUAUGCCCCUUAUAGAAGCUUACAACAUUGACUCAGACCUUUAUGGACUAAAAGGUCAUUCUAUCUUUAAGUCGGUUUGUAAUACCGAAGCUUCACGAAGAGGAACCUUCGGCUAACUUAUACAAACAGCUUCAGCCGAGGACCACUUCUUUCUAUAAGACCUUCGGCGACGAAGCAUAGUCCCAACAGUAGCCCCUUUCACGGUACUAGAUCGUUUUUCGUAACGAGCUUGAUCCGUGAAAAAAGUCUCUUAAGCUUCGGAGCGCCGAAGGUCUAAAAAACACCUUCCCUGAGCUCGUUGUCGAGAAACGAUUCAAUCUCCCAGCGUGUAGCGGCCCCACCUUGCAGAGUUACUGUUCGGUCUCUGCGGUCCACCACGCAGCGAGUGCGAGCGGGUGUCCGCCCGGUGUAAAAAUUCUGGCGCUUCGCCUUCUUACCUGCAGCACUAUAUAAACAGACGAGUAGGUGUGAAGUUACCACAGCAUUCAUUGCUAUUUACACUGUUUUGCUGCCAAAAUUUUUAACCGUCGCCGAAGCUUGUCUGUCGGAAUCGAAACGAAGCUCCUGCUUGAAACCUGCUUCGGAGGAAAAAAGUAUUAAAGUUCCACAAGUUCAUAUUUAAAUGGCCAAAGUGCGCUCUACCGCCAGGGUUGAACGUGAGGGGGACGAAACUGAAGCUUCGGAGACUGUCCCUAUCUCCGAAGCCAUGCAACGAUCCGGACUAGUGACUUCGGAAAAGAUUCCUAGUGAUGAUGCAGAACAAGCAAUCGCUGAAGCAGAGGAAGAAGAUAUUGAGGAAACUGAUCCCGAAGAUGAUUAUCGCAUUGCCAUGCCAAGCAAACCCAGCCAUUUGGACUUCGGGAAAUCUACUGUUUCGAAGGCUGAUCUGUCCAAGAUGGUAAAAUCGGGCUUUUUUACUGAAAAUCAGAAGAAGCUAUUGCGCUUCGGGGGAGAAGAGACUACCCCAAAGCCGGAGAAAGAUGAAAUUGUUAUUUUCAAAAGCUUUCUAAAGGCUGGGUUAAGGUUCCCCCUACACAGGAUUAUUGCAGAGGUACUGAAUAGGUUCGGUAUCUAUUUUCACCAGCUGACCCCUAACGCUAUCGUUAGACUUAUUGUUUAUAUCUGGGCACUCCGAAGCCAAGCAGUGGAACCAUUUGCAGACAGCUUUUGCCGGGUUCACGAGUUGCAUUAUCAAACGAAGGCUAGAAAGGAUGGAUUGCACGACAAUUUUGGUUGUUAUAACUUCGCCUAUCGGAAAACUACAAAGUUUCCUGUAAUUAGCUACCGAAGCAAAUGGGCAGCAGGCUGGAAAUCUGAGUGGUUUUAUGUCAAGGUUGAUGACGACAAGGAAAAGCUUGUGCAAAGCCCGCUGGAACUAGUCUUCGGAGAAACCCGACCUCGCUGCAACAUGACACCCGAAGGUCCAACACAACAAGCAAUGAGUGAAUUCAGAAUUAUUGCAGAGCAUAUCAGCACAAGGGACCUGGUUCAAGAGUUUUUAGCUUUCAAAGUUUUUCCCAGUUUGAAAGAAUGGGAAAUGCCGAAGCUACAGGGGGAAAAGAAAGAAGGUGAACUUGUACGUUUACCUUACUAUUUCAAGUUUAAAAAGUACUUUAAAACACCUUGCCAAGAGUGGCUAGAUACAAUUGAAGUAAUGUGCAAUGAAAUACUUGGCAAUUAUUCCAAAAAAGAAGAUCAAUUGAUGACCACAGCCUUCGGCACCCGUCCGAAGCGAAGGCUAAAUCGAGUGUUGGACGCCUUGGGCUUUGAUUACCCUGAUUAUGAAAAUCUGAACAAAGGUGCUGGGGGCCAAAAAAGAAAAAGGAUAACUGAGGCCAUGAAUGAAGAAAAAGAACCAUUAAAGAAGAAAAUUCUGAAGAAGAGGAAAGCUUCUUCUCCGAAGCAACAAAUAUCCGAAGCAGAAGAAACCCCCGCAUCACCUUCUGCUGCUGUCGUUGAGGAAAUUCUGAAGGUAAUGACUGAAUCCUUACCUGCGAAGCUAAGUCCACUGGGCCCUCAACUGACAAAGUUUUUUCAGAAGGACAAGGAGCCCGAAAAAUCGAAGAAAACAAUCAGGGCAAAGAAACAAAGAAUUAUCACUGUGACAGAGGUAAUUGACAAGACGCCGCCAAGAGCUUCAGCCCAGAAAACACCAGCGGCUGCAGAGGGGACGGAUAUUGAAAUUGCACCUUCGGAGGCCGCAGCUGCCGAAGCUGCCUCAGCUGAAGAUUUGAACCUGGAGAGCACAAUUGAACACAUUGACCAAAUACUGCUAAACAUGUCUGCAGAAGAAGCUACCGCCGCCGCCGAAGAGGCCAUGACCGCAGCGUCGGGGAAAGGAAAAGAAAUUGCUGAUGAAGCUUCAGAAAACGAAGCCUUCAUGUUCCAGAACUUAGUUGGAGAACAACUAUCAAAAGCUGAAAUAGAAGAGCUUAGAGAGUAUGCCAAAUCCUGUGGAUACAAACCUGGGGCACUCCUCUUCGGAGGCGUUGAUGAUGAAAAAUUAGAUUGUAUUCGAGAUCAGACAGGAGCCAAAGUUAUCAGUACUCUGUCCAAGAGUAUCGGCUUCCCGAAGCUAGAAACAGACAUCAGCCGCUACCGACGACAACAUGUCGUUGGUAGUUUAUUUUAUUCCAACUUCAAGGUGAACUACUUGUCCCUUAACUUUUAUUGUUUCUAAUAAUAAAAACAUGUCUGACGAAGGUUGUUUUUGUGCAGAGUAUGCUGUUGAGCAAAGCCUUGCAAAUGCAGCAAGAUUUUGAAGAUAAAAAGCACGAAGUUAUAAUUCAAAAUUUGGAAAGCAGAAUAAAGGAGCAAUCAGAUGCUUUCGAGAAAAAGAACUUUGAGCUCCAGGCAACCGAAGGUUUAUUGGCGGAAGCUGAAGCAAAAAUAGCAGAACUGAACACGAAGCUUCUCCGCCAGUCUGAGCAGUUCGAACGAGAAAAACAAGAUCUUAAUGCAAAACUUGACGCCGAAGCUCAACAAAAUUCAGAUUUGAGAAAACUACUGACAAGUCUUCAAGAAAAAUGCUUGGAAUUUAGCAACAAGUGCAUUCAACGAUUAAGAAAGAUUUUUUACUCAGUUGGAGCCAGCAGUGAAAAAUUCACCCCCUCAGCUGAAGAUCUACCGAAAACCUUCGAACAUAUUGAGGGGGAGAUUGACGAGCUCGACGAAGUCAUAGCUGGGCAUGGUGACUUCUGUGCUUGGGUGGCUUCUCGAGGUACUGCUGCAGCUUUCCUGAAGGCUGGCUGCGAUCAUGGAAAGGUUGUCAACAGGCCAAAUUUCACUUUAUCACCAUCAAUCCUGGAUGACAUUCCUGAUCUCGCCCGAAGUAUCUCGAAUAGAUUUGUAAAAAUGAUAUGGACCAAAGGUGGGCGAGAAAAGGCUGGAGACGAAGCUCGUAGCCACCUUGAACCAGUAAGAAACCAUACCUUGUGCUUACCUUUUCCUGUAAGCUUGAUUUUGACUUACAACGACCUUAUUCAUGUAGGAUGACGAAGCCGAAGCCGAUGAUCAAAAAUGACGCCGAAGCCGAAGCUCCUUGGAGAUUAGAUAGUAGACUGUAGACAGUACUUGAGAAACUUUUGAGAUAACUUUUGUAAAUGUAACCAAAACUUGUCUUUAAUGAAUUCUGUUCAUACCUUGUUAUAUAUCCUUAUCCUUCCAUUGAUGUAUGGGAAAUGCUUUGAUGUGGACGAAAUUUUCUUUUGAGCCGAAGGCGAAAAAACACCUUCCCUUCUUUUCGUACGCAGCGAAGCAUAGAAAACAACAUUUUCCUUUUUUCUCUUUUUUUUUCCGAAGCUCUCCUUUUUGUACACGAAGCUCUUUCUUCCCCUUUUUUUUCUUCUUUUUGCCGAAGCAACCAUUUAUGCCAUGAAGAUGAUUACCCUACAUAUGUCUAGAUGAAUGUUUAUGAAUGCAAAUGUUAUGAUGUAAUGUGAUGUGCAAAUGAAUGGCCAAAGUCGUAUCCGAAGCCAUAUUCAUAGCCAUUAUUCUCUUAAAAACAAUCGCACCUCAGCUCUGCAUUCCCUUAGGAACGACUUUGGAGCUUCUUCGCCUUUACUUUUGGCGGAAUCAGCGUUGACUUUUCGCUGUAAGCUCUGCAUUCCCUUAGGAACGACUUUGGAGCUUCUUCGCCUUUACUUUUGGCGGAAUCAGCGUUGACUUUUCGCUGUAAGCUCUGCAUUCCCUUAGGAACGACUUUGGAGCUUCUUCGCCUUUACUUUUUGGCACUCGAUGGUGCGUUCUCAGCUUUUACAUUUACAUUCCUUGGGGGAUUUUGCUCUUAUAGAACUAAAAAAGGAAAUUACAUGUGCUGGCCCCAUUAAAAACCUUUCUCCCCCUUCGGAAAGGAAAAGGGUGCCAUGAAAGAAAAAUAAAAAAUAUGAAAAAUUACAUCGAGUUAUACAUAAUAUCGCCGAAGCUCAUCCGCAUUCCAAGACCUAGGAAUGUCGUUGCCGUCCAUAUCCUUCAAUCUGUAUGAACCGGGUCUUGACGAAGAUGCUACUAAGAAAGGUCCAUCCCAUUUCAACUGCAACUUGCCCACUGUUUCUGGGUUGGCCACUCUCCGAAGCACCAAGUGUCCUGGCUCAAUAUUCUUUAACCGAACCUUUCUAUCUCGCCAUUUAAUUGUUUCGGCUUGAUAUUUAUUGAUGUUCUCCACGGCUUGCAGCCUGAUCCCUUCUAAAGCAUCUUUUUCCACAGAAUAAGCAGCUUCGGAACUUGAUUCUGCCGAAGCUAUUACCCUUAUUGAUCCGGUUUUAGCUUCCUCCGGAGUUAUUGCUUCGUCACCGAAUAAUAACUUGAAUGGAGUAAAGCCUGUAGACCUUGAUGUUGUUGUAUUGUGGCUCCACACCACUUUGGUUAACUGAUCUGGCCAUUUUCCCCUGGGUUGAUUGAAGAUUAACUUCAUUAUUCCUGUCAUUAUAAUGCCAUUGGCUCUUUCAACGAGUCCAUUGGACUCCGGAUGUCUGACUGAUGCAAAAUGGAUCUUCGUACCAAUCUGAUCACAGAAAUCCCUAAAAGCUUCGGAAUCAAACUGUGUUCCAUUAUCCACAGUAAUAGCCUUUGGUACCCCAAAACGACAAACAAUAUUCUGCCAGAAAAACUUUUGGACGGUGGCCGAAGUUAUUGUGGCUAAAGGCCUUGCUUCAAUCCAUUUAGAAAAAUAUUCCACUGCCACUACAACAUACCUUAGGUUCCCUUGUGCCGGUGGUAACGGACCUAACAAGUCAAGGCCCCACCUUUGCAAUGGCCAAAUGGGUUGUAUGAGUUGUGUUAGGGACGAAGGUUGUUUUUGAUCUCGUGCACAUUUCUGACAACCUUCGCACUUUUGAACUAAUUCCGCUGCAUCCGAAGCUGCCUUCGGCCAAUAAAAUCCUUGGCGGAAAAUUUUUCCGAGUAAUGGCCUGGAUCCAAUGUGAGAUCCACAGAGGCCUGCAUGUAUUUCUUUCAUCAACUCUAUACCUUCGGUUCUGGAUAAACACUUGAGUAGCGGAGCACAAACUCCAUGCUUGUACAACUCUCCUUCUAUCAUGACAUAUGGACGAGCUCUUGCCUCUAUUCUCCUGUUAUAAGCUUCGUCAUCUGAAAGGAAUUUUCCCUGAAGGUAAGAAAUGAUCUCAGUUCUCCAAUCCUCGCUAUAAACAGGAGAUAUGUUGAGGACUGCUCUUUCAAGAAGUUCCACCGAAGGUGCUUUUAUUGUUUCGAAGAACACAUCCGAAGGUAAGGGCAGCCCCUGUGCUGCUGACUUAGCUAGCAAAUCAGCAUGCUCAUUUUGUCCUCUUGGGAUAUUUUUGACAGAAAACCCUUCAAAGGAAGCUUCAACUCUUCGAACCAUAUCCAAAUAUUUUUCAAGCUUCGGAUCCUUAGCCUUGCAACUCUUGUCAAUAUGACCCGAAACAACCUGGGAAUCAGUUUUAAGUAUGGCCCUUCUGAUUCCCAUUGCUUUUAACUUCCGAAGACCUAGAAGUAAUGCUUCGUACUCGGCAAUGUUAUUUGUGCAACUAAAAUCAAGUUUUGCCGCAUAACAAGUUUUGACUUUGGAAGGUGAAACCAAUACAGCAGCCGCUCCCGCUCCGAAGGUUCCCCAAGAUCCAUCACAAAACACUGUCCAUGCUUCGUUGUCUUUAUUCGUUUCUUCCUCCUGAGCCCCUGGCGUCCAGUCAGCAAUGAAGUCUGCCAACGCCAGGGACUGAAUCGAAGAUCUAUGAACAUAUUCAAUACAAAAUUCAUUAAGCUCUGCAGCCCAUUUUCCAAUCCUUCCAGUAGCUUCUCGGUUCCUCAUAAUAUCCUUCAGAGGUUGUGAAGAAGGAACAAUUAUGUUGUAAGCUUGGAAAUAGUGCCGAAGCUUCCUGGAGGCCAUCAAGACAGCAUACAGUACCUUCUCCAACUCUGUAUAAUUUUUCUUUGAUAAACUAAGAACUUCGGAUACAAAAUAUAUUGGGGCCUGCCUCUUGACUUGACCAUCAAGCUUCUCCUGGACAAGCGCUGCACUUACCGCUGAGUGCGAAGCUGCCACAUAUAAUAACAAAGGAGCCCCUGGCAUUGGUGGAGUCAAUGUUGUUAGAUCUAUCAAAUACUGUUUCAGCUCUUCAAAAGCCUUCUGCUGGAUUGGUCCCCAUUGAAAGACUUCGGCUGAUUUCAGCACUUCGAAGAAUGGUAAGUUUCUCUCUUCUGAUCUGGAUAUGAAUCUAUUGAGAGAUGCCAAUCUUCCUGUCAAUCUUUGAGCCCCCUUCUUUGUAGUUGGUGGCUCCAUCCGAAGUAUAGCUUCAAUUUUACUUGGAUUAGCUUCAAUUCCCUUUGUUGAAACCAAGCAUCCAAGAAAUUUCCCCUUCUUUACUCCGAAGACGCAUUUUUCUGGAUUUAACUUUAAGCCAGCUUGACUGAAACUGGCGAAGGUUUCCUGCAGAUCAGCAAUAUGAUUCUCCUGUUUCGUGCUUUUUACAAUGAUGUCAUCAACAUAAGUUAGCACAUUUCUGCCUAUUUGAGAUUGGAGAACCUUCGCAGUCAUUCGGCUGAAACUUCCUCCAGCGUUUUUGAGCCCCUCAGGCAUCCGAAGAUAGCAAUAUGUGCCACUUGGAGUUAUGAAGCUAGUCUUCGGCUCAUCUUCCUUCUUCAUCCAAAUUUGGUGAUAGCCUGAGUAACAGUCAAGCAGACUCAUGAGCUCGGAAGAAGCUGCUGCAUCUACUAAAGAGUCUAUCCUUGGCAAUGGAAACUCGUCCUUCGGACACGCCUUGUUGAGAUCUGUAAAAUCGAUACACAUUCGCCAUUUGCCAUUGGCCUUUUUUACCAUAACAGUGUUAGCCAGCCAUUCUGGGUACUUUACUUCUCUGAUGACUCCUGCACUGAGGAGUCUUUUAACUUUGUUACGAGCACCUUCGGCCUUAUCAUCUGACAUUUUCCGAAGCCUCUGCUUUCUGGCUCUGAAAGAUGGAUCAACAUUGAGCGAGUGUUCAAUAACAUCCCUAUUUACUCCGCAAAGAUCAUUAGCUGACCAUGCAAAAACAUCUUUGUUGUUGAACAAAAACCUUAUCAAAGUUUUCUCCUGCUCUUCGGAUAAUUGAGAGCCUAACAGCACCUUCUGCUCUGCUAUGUCCUCACAUAAGAGCAUAGGCUUCGGCUGAUCUGCUGAAGCUGCUUUCUCCCUUCUGAAUUUGUACUGUUCACAAGCUUCAGCUCCAUCUAUGUUAUGGAUUGCUUUUGAGUCAGUCCAAUUGCCUUCGGCCCUUCUUGCAGCUUCCUGACUUCCAUGGAUAGCAAUGGGUCCUUGAUCCGAAGGUAUCUUCAUGCAAAGAUAGGCAGGAUGAAGGAUUGCUUCGAAGGCAUUGAGGGUGCCACGACCAAUAAUUGCAUUGUAAGGGUAUUCCAUAUCAACAAUGUCAAACACAACUUGCUCAGUUCUAGUGUUGUUGAUGAACCCGAAGGUCACUGACAUGGUGAUCUUGCCCAGUGCUACAAUCUGUCUUCCUCCGAAGCCACAGAGAGGAUGUGUAGCAUCAUGAAUCUUAUCUUCUGGCUCUUGCAUUUGUCUGAAGGCCUUAGCAAAUAUGAUAUCAGCUGCACUGCCUGUGUCAACCAAGACAUUGUGGACCAGAAAUCCUUUGAUAACACAAGAGAUAACCAUGGCAUCGUUGUGUGGGUAAUCCUUGAGCUGAAGGUCCUCUUGGGAGAAGGUAAUAGGAAUGUGAGACCAUCUUGACUUGAUAAAGGGUCCUUGCACCCCAACAUGCUGUACCCUUCUCUGUGCUUCCUUCUUUUGUUUCUUGUUAGCUGGCUCUGAGGACGAACCACCUGUGAUCGGGAGCACCAGCUUCGGGUCCGAAGCAGCUCCAGCUUGGUCGUUGAACGAAGCCAUCAGCUCAAAAAAUGGAAGUGAGUUCACCGGGGCGCCAAUGUUGGGGACUUGUUCUCAACCGCUAUGAAUUAAGAACAAGGCAACAUAAAGUGUUAAAUGUUAACGUUCUUCAUCCAUGAAACAUUAUUCCCUUGAGGAUAAUGGGCCUUGGACGAAGGUUGAUGAGAGUAAAAUUACGAAGCUUAGGACUUCGUAAUAAAAUUUCAAUAGUUAUUGUAAGGCAACAUAAAAUAAAAGGUAUCAAAGGGGUAAAUAAUUCAUAGACGAAUUAUGUCAUAUUUACUUAAUAUAUUGAAUCAUUGGAUACAAUAAUACCUCUGCCUUGGCAAGGGUUGAAUUCCAGAAGAUGCGAGUAUAAUUACCAGAAUUCGUGAACAGUAACGGACUACUGUUCACUAUUUAUAGGCACAGGACACAGCCUGUGAGGAAUUACAAGUAUGCCCCUUAUAGAAGCUUACAACAUUGACUCAGACCUUUAUGGACUAAAAGGUCAUUCUAUCUUUAAGUCGGUUUGUAAUACCGAAGCUUCACGAAGAGGAACCUUCGGCUAACUUAUACAAACAGCUUCAGCCGAGGACCACUUCUUUCUAUAAGACCUUCGGCGACGAAGCAUAGUCCCAACAC
rnacentral:lncRNA from 1 species